GUUGAACGCUGGCGGCAGGCUUAACACAUGCAAGUCGAGCGGGGGAAGGUAGCUUGCUACCGGACCUAGCGGCGGACGGGUGAGUAAUGCUUAGGAAUCUGCCUAUUAGUGGGGGACAACAUCUCGAAAGGGAUGCUAAUACCGCAUACGUCCUACGGGAGAAAGCAGGGGAUCUUCGGACCUUGCGCUAAUAGAUGAGCCUAAGUCGGAUUAGCUAGUUGGUGGGGUAAAGGCCUACCAAGGCGACGAUCUGUAGCGGGUCUGAGAGGAUGAUCCGCCACACUGGGACUGAGACACGGCCCAGACUCCUACGGGAGGCAGCAGUGGGGAAUAUUGGACAAUGGGGGGAACCCUGAUCCAGCCAUGCCGCGUGUGUGAAGAAGGCCUUAUGGUUGUAAAGCACUUUAAGCGAGGAGGAGGCUACUUUAGUUAAUACCUAGAGAUAGUGGACGUUACUCGCAGAAUAAGCACCGGCUAACUCUGUGCCAGCCGCCGCGGUAA
rnacentral:rRNA from 1 species